rnacentral:lncRNA from 1 species
GCCGCUGCAAGGGAGUUUCGUGGGCCUAAGGCUAAAACCAAUUUUCUCUUGCCCUCUGAGGACCAUAGUCCCAGCCACAGCAGCACCGUGGAGUCGUCCAUUGCCGAUAACAAACAGCACGCGCCGAUCGAGCUGGAUCUCACGCGCCGCCUUGGUGCCGCCACCGCCGAGGUGGACGAAAUCGGUGCUGGUGGUGUUGGGGGUCGUCUUCAUGUUAAUGGGUAUCAAUUUUUGCACCAUCGGCCGACCAUGGCGUUGAUGCCAAAUGGACAGCAGGUUUUUUUCUUCGAGCAAUUGAUGCAGCCCCUGAUGGUAGACCACCGUGCCGGAUCCUACCUGCCGAACACGGUGGCAGUUGAUUAUCGUAGUGGCGGCGCCGCACAGAGUGAUUCAGAUUCUUCCUCUGUUGUUGAUGGAACUGACACAAUUGCAAAGAGGGGCCUUGAUCUCGAUCUUAAUCUGCCUCCAUUAGUGGAGCUUGAACCUUAAUCAUGACGUCAGUAAAUAACUUCGAAAUGUUUUAU